rnacentral:rRNA from 1 species
AGCAGUCGCCGCGGGAAAACGGAGGGGGCUAGCGUUGUUCGGAAUUACUGGGCGUAAAGCGCACGUAGGCGGCUUUGUAAGUUAGAGGUGAAAGCCCAGGGCUCAACCCUGGAAUUGCCUUUAAGACUGCAUCGCUCGAACGUCGGAGAGGUGAGUGGAAUUCCGAGUGUAGAGGUGAAAUUCGUAGAUAUUCGGAAGAACACCAGUGGCGAAGGCGGCUCACUGGACGACUGUUGACGCUGAGGUGCGAAAGCGUGGGGAGCAAACAGGAUUAGAUACCCGAGUAGUCCCUGUCUCUUAUAC